rnacentral:rRNA from 1 species
CCAAGUCAGGUGGGACUACCGCUGAGCUUAA